UACGUAGGGCGCAAGCGUUGUCCGGAAUUAUUGGGCGUAAAGAGCUCGUAGGCGGUCUGUCGCGUCUGCCGUGAAAACCCGGGGCUCAACCCCGGGCCUGCAUUCGAUACGGGCAGGCUAGAGUUCGGUAGGGGAGAUCGGAAUUCCAGGUGUAGCGGUGAAAUGCGUAGAUAUCUGGAGGAACACCGGUGGCGAAGGCGGCGUUCUGGACUGCAACUGACACUGAGGAACGAAAGCCAGGGGAGCAAACGGG
rnacentral:rRNA from 1 species